GUGUCAGGGAGAAACAGCUGGAAGAUCUGAAAACUCAAAACACAGUUCAGUCUGUUCAACUUUCCUUGAUGAAUUCCAGGCUGACUGACAGCCACAAUAACACUACAGCUCUGGAAGUCAGACUGAGAUCCACAGAGACACAUCUGAAGC